CAGGAUGAACGCUGGCGGCGCGCUUAACACAUGCAAGUCGAACGGUUAAUGCACCCUCGGGGUGCGCAUAGAGUGGCGAACGGCUGAGUAACACGUGGGCAACCUGCCCCCCGCACCGGGAUAGCCUCGGGAAACCGAGGGUAAUACCGGAUACUCCGCCCCCCUCGCAUGGGAGGGCGGGAAAGCACAUACGGCGGGGAUGGGCCCGCGGCCUGUUAGCUCGUUGGCGGGGUAACGGCCCACCAAGGCGAUUAUGGGUAGCCGGGUUGAGAGACCGACCGGCCAGAUUGGGACUGAGACACGGCCCAGACUCCUACGGGAGGCAGCAGUGGGGAAUCUUGCACAAUGGGCGAAAGCCUGAUGCCAGCGACGCCGCGUGCGGGAAGAAGGCCCUCGGGUUGUAAACCGCUUUCAGCAGGGACGAGGCGCAAGUGACGGUACCUGCAGAAGAAGCCCCGGCUAACUACGUGCCAGCAGCCGC
rnacentral:rRNA from 1 species